rnacentral:rRNA from 1 species
AUUGAACGCUGGCGGCAGGCCUAACACAUGCAAGUCGAACGAGUGGCGGACGGGUGAGUAAUGUCUGGGAAACUGCCUGAUGGAGGGGGAUAACUCCUGGAAACGGUAGCUAAUACCGCAUACCAUCAGAUGUGCCCAGAUGGGAUUUGCUAGUAGGUGGGGUAAUGGCUCACCUAGGCGACGAUCCCUAGCUGGUCUGAGAGGAUGACCAGCCACACUGGCACGGCGCCACGGUCCAUCCUCCUACGGGCGGCAGCAGUGGUGACUAUUGCACAAUGGGCGCAAGCCUGAUGCAGCCAUGCCGCGUGUGUUCAGAAGGCCUUCGGGUUGUAAAGCACUUUCAGCGAGGGGGCGUUACUCGCAGAAGAAGCACCGGCUAACUCCGUGCCAGCAGCCGCGUUAAUAC